AACAUCCAUGGUACUCCAUGGGAACCUCUUUCAAAAUAUGUAUACUUUAGUUUAAAAAGGGUGUUGUUUGCAAAAGAUUGGAGAUAUGGGGAAAGAAGUUUUAUUUUUUUAUUAAUUUUUGUGUUUGCCAAGACUUUUGAAGUCUCAUGCCUAUGUACCAACAAAGUGCAAUGGAGGGUCAAAACCUUGUAGUUCGUGGUAAAAAUAACAAAGAUGUUU
rnacentral:lncRNA from 1 species